AGAUCCCCUUAUCCAGGCCACCUUUGGAAACCAGCCCACCUGCUACACCAACCUUUUCCCAACACCGUGGUCCCACCCCUACCUUCGCUGCUGAAAAACCGCAUUGUGUGGGGGUCUGGAAUCUUCUGGACUCCUGGGACCCCAAUCCGCUUGCCUCUUGUACCCCUCUUGCAGAGCAAUGAGCCGAUGGGGUGCCAGGCAUUAGAAACCUUCCCUCCAAUCCUCACCAUGUCUCCAUUUUGCCAAAGAAGAAACUGAGGUUAAGGUCGCGAUGCUCUGGCCAGCAUCACAGGUAAACGAUUUUGGCAGUGCCCGGAGAAAGAUAGAAGUAAGACCUAAAGAGGAACUUUCCGCAUGUUAUGGGAGAGCCCCUGGGGCGAGGAGGCGAGGGCAGCCUUCCCCAGGCCAAGGGAGCAGCCAUCGCUCUUGGAUCUGUUUUUCCUCAAGCGUCUGUCCUGUGGGGCCUAGUCCCCAAGCGGCAGUCCUGGACCUAACGGGAGAAGGGGCUGGGGGAAGAGGGCGCACCCCCAGCCCGGGACCCACAGCAGCCCUAG
rnacentral:lncRNA from 1 species